AUUGAACGCUGGCGGAAUGCUUUACACAUGCAAGUCGAACGGCAGCACGGACUUCGGUCUGGUGGCGAGUGGCGAACGGGUGAGUAAUGUAUCGGAACGUGCCCAGUCGUGGGGGAUAACGUAGUGAAAAUUACGCUAAUACCGCAUACGAUCUAUGGAUGAAAGCGGGGGAUCGCAAGACCUCGCGCGAUUGGAGCGGCCGAUAUCAGAUUAGGUAGUUGGUGGGGUAAAGGCCCACCAAGCCAACGAUCUGUAGCUGGUCUGAGAGGACGACAAGCCACGCGGGAACGGGGACACGGUCCAGACUCCUACGGGGGGCAGCAGUGGGGAAUUUUGGACAAUGGGCGAAAGCCUGAUCCAGCCAUUCCGCGUGAAGGAUGAAGGCCCUCGGGUUGUAAACUGCUUUUGUACAGAACGAAAAGGUUUCUACUAAUACUAGGAGCUCAUGACGGUACUGUAAGAAUAAGCACCGGCUAACUACGUGCCAGCCGCCGCCGUAA
rnacentral:rRNA from 1 species